AGCAGCCGCGGUAAUUCCAGCUCCAAUAGCGUAUAUUAAAGUUGUUGCAGUUAAAAAGCUCGUAGUUGAAUUUCGGGGUCAGCAAGUUGGUCGUGCCACUGGUAUGCACUGGCUUUGCUGAUUCCUCCUUCUUGAAGAACUGUAAUGCUAUUAAUUUAGUGUUGCAGGGAAACAGGACUGUUACUUUGAAAAAUUAGAGUGUUUAAAGCAGGCUAACGCUUGAAUACAUUAGCAUGGAAUAAUGAAAUAGGACGUUUGAUCCUAUUUUGUUGGUUUCUAGGAUUGACGUAAUGAUUAAUAGGGAUAGUUGGGGGCAUUAGUAUUCAAUUGUCAGAGGUGAAAUUCUUGGAUUUAUUGAAGACUAACUACUGCGAAAGCAUUUGCCAAGGAUGUUUUCAUUAAUCAAGAACGAAAGUUAGGGGAUCGAAGACGAUCAGAUACCGUCGUAGUCUUAACCAUAAACUAUGCCGACUAGGGAUCGGAUGAUGUUAAUUUUUAAUGA
rnacentral:rRNA from 1 species